AGCCACGCAAACCAUGGAUCUUCGUUUGUCUUCCUGAGCACAGUUCAGCUGAUGUAGCUGCUCCGCAAAAGAAGAGCAGAGCGCGCAAGGAGGGCCAGGCGGCCGAGGAGUGUGUGGAUGCGGAAGAUACGCCAGCAUCACAAGUCCCGCCACUCGGGAACGCUGAUUCCUAUGCUGCGAGAAUCAGAUACGUGGUAUUGCUCCGAAUUUCCCCCCAGCGGUGAUAGCCAGCGGAGCCUGUCCUUUGCAUUUAAUGUGGCAAGAUCGACCAUAUCCGAAAUAAUCUCCAAGACGGCCCAGGCAAUUUGGGAGAACCUAAAGGACGGGUACGUGAAAUGCCCAAGAACACCCGAAGAAUGGAACGACAUUGCCAGGGGCUUCCUACAAUGCUGGAAUAUAUCAAAUUGCAUUGAUCUCAUCCCGGAAGGGGGCGACAUACCUUUCAGCUGUGAAGUCCUCGAGAACGUCAGGCAGCGAUUGAAAUCAAAUUCUGCUUCCGUGAGCUGAGAUUCAGAGCUCUCAGGACCCCAAGAAACGAAACGAGCAAAGAUGACGUUGGACGACUUGAAUGGGAAAAUGUCGACAAUCAACUUCAAGUACUGAAGGACCUGACGAGCUCCAGCGAUAUUUGAAAGCAGACUUUUCAAAUGUCAGUGAGAGCAAACUUCUGCCCUUUUGGAAGCGCCAUCAGAGUAAGUUUCCAAGACUAUCUCUACUCGCCAAGCAGCUACUUUGUGUGCCCGCCAUGAGUGUUUCCAGUGAGAGGAACUUCAGUGCUGCUGGCUAUCUCAUCCAGAAAAGGAGAACCCGUCUAAAGCCAGAUACAGUAAAUAAUCUUCUAUUUUUGCACGAGAACCUCUAAGAACACUCGCUCUACUCUGUGUUAAUAUGGACCCGAGUCUUGGAAAAUAUUUGGUGACUGUUUCAUAGGAGUACAUUUUUAUCUUAAAGCCCCGUUUUGUUUGAAAGUAUAUGAGUACCAAUCUCGCCGACCCUUCCACUGCUGACUGGUUGACAGCAUUCCUGUAUUGUUAUUUAGUUUGUUGCGUUAAAAGUGUCUAAUUUUCCACGUCAACAGAGUUUCACAAUGUAUUUUAGAUGGCUUCACGUGUGCUUAUUUGUCUCAGUAACUGCAUGACUUGGUAUACAUUUAAGUGGACUUCUUGUACUCAUAUUCAUUCAAUAUUACACUUCGUCCAUGAAAAGGAUAGUUUUUUCCUAAUAUAAUUUAUCUGAAUUCAAAGGGCACGUCAAGGAGUGUUUUUCAUGUGUGUUUUUGUGUGCUUAUAUUUUACUGUAAACAUUUAUUGCCUAUUGAGUUGUAAUG